UACUAUUAAUUUAUAAAAUUAUUAUUAUUAUUUUUAAUUAUUUUUAGGAUGAUGUGGAAUUGAAACAAGACAAGAGGAUGCCCCUGUCAUUGAGACUGGAGGGAGGAGCCCAGUGACUCCAUUACCAGUAGAGGAAGACAGUUACAUUGGAGAAGAUAAGAAGAGAAACCAUCAAAGGAAGAAGAUGAAGAUGGAGGAGGAGGAGGAGGAUCUCUCAGUAUCUACCGCUGAGGCUCAUAGUCAUUCAGUUAUUAUUGCUAAUGAUCCUGAUCCUAAUAGACUGGCCUUGGCGGAAAAACAACCGGGGAAUACUAAUGAGGGAGGGAGGGGCAACUGGUGAGUGUUUACUGGCAAUGAGAUAGGGAGCAUGUUGGGCUGGUGGGCCAUGAAAAAUUUAAAAAAAAUUAACAAAAAUUUUGACGCCCCAAUUUUUACUAGACUGAGAAAAGAUGGAGUGAGUGGAGCUGCUGUGGCUGGAGAAAUGGCCGCCUACCUUUACUCUAAUGGAGAGACAUUCUCUUCACUGUUGGAAGACAUUUAUUUAAAAUAUGGUCGAGUUGUGUCAAGCAAUUCUUAUUUUAUAUGUGACUCAAAAGAAA